GAUGAAGAACGUAGCGAAAUGCGAUAAGUAAUGUGAAUUGCAGAAUUCAGUGAAUCAUCGAAUCUUUGAACGCACAUUGCGCCCGCCAGCAUUCUGGCGGGCAUGCCUGUUCGAGCGUCAUUUCAACCCUCGAGCCCGACUUCCUUGCGGAGGACGGCUCGGCGUUGGGGGACGGCACACUCCCCCCGGCUCGCCGGGGACGCCGCCCCCGAAAUUCAGUGGCGGCCCUCGGAGGCGACCUCUGCGUAGUAACUCAACCUCGCAAAGGGAAGCUCCGAGCGGCCACGCCGUGAAACCCCAACUAUAUCAAGGUUGGCCUCGAAUCAGGUAGGACUACCCGCUGAACUUAAGCAUAUCAAUAAGCGGAGGA
rnacentral:misc_RNA from 1 species